CUGGGGUGACCCUACAAAUCCCCUGUUUUUAGGACCAGCUGUAUCUACAGUACCUAGAACCAUGCCUGGCAUACAGUAGGCACCCAAUACAUAUUUGAUGGAUGAAUUAAGGAAUGAAUGAAUGAAUGAAUGAAUGAAAAGUAAAUUAAUGAACGAAAAAACUAAACAAUAAGGCAACUGUAUUAGCCCGUUUUCACACUGCCGAUAAAGACAUACCCGAGACUGGGCGAUUUACAAAGGAAGAAGUUUAUUGGACUUACAGUUCCACGUGGCUGGGGAGGCCUCACAAUCAUGGUGGAAGGUGAAAGGUACGUCUCACAUGGCGGCAGACAAGAGAAGAGAACUAUUGCAGGGAAAUUUACGUUUUUAAAACCAUCAGGUCUCGUGAGACUUAUUCACUAUCAUGAGAACAGCACAGGAGAGACCUGCCCCCAUGAUUCAAGUACCUCCCACCGGGUCCCUCCCACAACAUAUGGGAAUUCAAGAUGAGAUUUGGGUGGGGACACAGCCAGACCAUAUCAGCAACUAAGGCUUAGAGCGGUUGGGUAAUUUGCUCAAGGUCUCAAGGACGAUAAAUGAUGACUUUUGAACAUGGGUCCUUUGGCUCAAGAACCCAUGUGGUUUUUGUUUUCUUCUAUUUCACUUGGUUUAUGCCUAAUGGCCCAUGUUUUAUCAGGAAGGUGUGAAUAAAGACAUGUCCUAGCCAGGAGGUGCUAGGGCUGAAGGUUUGAGGGAAAGUAGUAGAAAAGGUUUCAAACAGCUGCUUUGAGUGCCUGCUAAUGGCAGAUUAUGGAAGCCCAAUGUUGAGGGUCUAGUAAGGGUAGGUUAUGGAAGCCUGACACGGGUGUCUUGGAGCUCUCUCCCUGGGACUCCUGUGCUUGUGGUGCUGUAGAACCAAGUGUUGGCACACAGUCAGCAAUCCCAGCUGAGCCUUGCCUUGCAGCCAUCCCCACUGAGGUGCUAGACUUACAAGGGAAGCUGUCCUGGACCCUCCAGACCAGUCCAUCUGCCAGCCGAAUACAACACCACCACCUCAGCCAGCACUACAUGGAACAGAACAAUGGAGCAGCUGAGCCCUGCCCAAACUCCUCACCCACAAAAGCACAAAGAGUAAAAAUGGCUGUUGUUUUAAGCCGGUCAGUUUUGGGGUAAUUUGACACAUGGCAACAGAUAACCAGAAUAUACCACAAGUUCAUUUUGUAGCUUCCUUCUCUUCAUGGUGCCAGACAAAUCAUAGCCAAUGGCCAGGCUAACAACCAGUCACAAGAAAACAAACUCUCCCCUCUUGCACAUGGCAAUUCACACACAAAAACAAUUACAGUGAUUUUGCAUUUCUUACAAAUAGCCUAUCCAUGGGCCGAUUCGAAAUGUUGCCCAUAAAACCAUUUUUCCUUUGCAGGUUAUAAACACUGAUAAAAAGGAAACAUGUCCUCUCCGUGCAGACUGAGCCGACAGGACGGACAUUCUUUUGAUCAUUUUACCAUUUUCAUGUUUGACACACAACAGCUUUUUCACUGUUCAACCCAAAUUUGAAGAGGAAACAAGAUAACAUCUGUUUCCUUCACCAUCCUUCCAUGCAUUUCAUAGCACCCAGAUAUAUAGGUGCUUUGCUCACAGGGAUCACGCUAUUCAAGUUCACCUUCUGAUGAUUCUGAGAUGAAAAUGGCAUUUGCUAUAGAUCCCUCUCACAGGGUAGGCCGGGAAUGCAGACUAGCUAAGUAGGGAGUGGGAGGCAAUUACUCUAACCUCAGUGGACAAAACAGUUCCCCAAACUGCAGAAUUAGCAGAGCACAAACGCUGCAGCUGUUUGCAAAGGCACCCGCGGUAUUUCUGACAUGGCAAAUCAUGCUGGUGAUGUCAGACUCUUUUCUUAAACAAAAGUGAAAUGUGAGAAGGUGAAAAUACGUGACUGCUGGAAGAUGUUUUUCCUUGUUUGGGGACUGCAUUCGCAAAUGACUCUUGUCCAGGACCCUGGGUUUUCCCCAGGUCUUUUAAAGGUCUACAUUCCUUUAGAAUCCUUCACUAAACCUACCAGUUGGCUCCCUAACUUCCCGGUUAUCUCACCGCUCUGUCAUGCAAGUCACUGAGCAGGGAAAGUGACUCAUAGGCUCUAAAGAAAACCUAAUUCAUUGAAUUAAACAUUGGAAAGAAUCUAAGUGAGUCACUGUAUCCUUCGCUUGGUCUUUAGGCAGCACCACACCUUGAUCAUUCCAGCCAGAAGGGAGGUAAUCAUAUUUUUAAAAAGCUGCUUGGAGAAGGAUUAUUUACAACGAUAAUAAAUCCCAUUUCUAUAUAUACCUAUAUUCCGAAAACAACAGCAAAGGCACUGCAAAAUUAAACCCCAAAAUACAAACUGAAGAGCAGAAAUAUGCAAAGCCUUGAGCCUAGCUCACACCGCUUCUGUGCAAAUUAGAAAAAGGUGGCCCCCCAGGUUGAAGGAAUUAGGAAAAAGCACCCACUUGGGGCAGCAGCUGCUGACAGCCAUGUUUGGGGGCCUGGUGAGUAAGCAAAUGGGCUGGAUCUCCACUCACCCCCCUGCCCUGCCCUCCAGCCCUUCCCCUAACCACCUCCACCCCUGCUUUUGUGCAGAGAACAAAUUCCAGGACCUUGUGCAGUGGCGUGAGAAGAAGGACAUGGAACUUUUUAUGACUCCCCCUCCCCAUUUUCCUGGUAAAAUCUUUU
rnacentral:lncRNA from 10 species